rnacentral:rRNA from 1 species
GAUUACGCCGCGUGAGUGAUGAAGGUCUCGGAUCGUAAAACUCUGUUGUUAGGGAAGAACAAGUGCCGUUCGAAUAGGGCGGCGCCUUGACGGUACCUAACCAGAAAGCCACGGCUAACUACGUGCCAGCAGCCGCGGUAAUACGUAGGUGGCAAGCGUUGUCCGGAAUUAUUGGGCGUCAAGCGCGCGCAGGUGGUUUCCUUAAGUCUGAUGUGAAAGCCCACGGCUCACCCGUGGAGGGUCAUUGGAAACUGGGGAACUUGAGUGCCGAAGAGGACAGUGGAAUUCCAAGUGUAGCGGUGAAAUGCGUAGAUAUUUGGAGGAACACCAGUGGCGAAGUGCGACUUUCUGGUCUGUAACUGACACUGAGGCGCGAAAGCGUGGGGAGCAAACAGGAUUAGAUUCCCUGGUAGUCCACGCCGUACACGAUGGAGUGCUACAGUGUUAGAGGGUUUCCGACCUUUAGUGCUGCCUGUAACGCAUUAAGCACUCCGCCUGGGGAGUACGGUCC